UACAGAGGUCUCAAGCGUUGUUCGGAUUCAUUGGGCGUAAAGGGUGCGUAGGUGGCGCGCUAAGUCAGGUGUGAAAUUUCGGAGCUUAACUCCGAAACUGCAUUUGAUACUGGCGUGCUUGAGGACUGGAGAGGAGACUGGAAUUCAUGGUGUAGCAGUGAAAUGCGUAGAGAUCAUGAGGAAGACCAGUGGCGAAGGCGGUUCUCUGGGACGGUACUGACGCUGAGACGCGAAAGCGUGGGGAGCGAACAGG
rnacentral:rRNA from 1 species